GGCGGCGUAGCUCAGUCGGUAGAGCAAGGGACUCAUAAGCCCUGUGUCACAGGUUCGAUUCCUGUCGCCGCUACCU
rnacentral:tRNA from 1 species